rnacentral:tRNA from 1 species
UGCCGAAACCCGGGAUCGAACCAGGGUUUUUGAUCUUCGGUCUAACGCUCUCCCAACUAAGCUAUUUCGGC